UACGGAGGGGGUUAGCGUUGUUCGGAAUUACUGGGCGUACAGCGCGCGUAGGCGGAUCAGAAAGUAGGGGGUGAAAUCCCAGGGCUCAACCCUGGAACUGCCUUCUAAACUCCUGGUCUUGAGUUCGAGAGAGGUGAGUGGAAUUCCGAGUGUAGAAGUGAAAUUCGUAGAUAUUCGGAGGAACACCAGUGGCGAAGGCGACUCACUGGCUCGAUACUGACGCUGAGGUGCGAAAGCGUGGGGAGCAAACAGG
rnacentral:rRNA from 1 species